rnacentral:rRNA from 1 species
UACGGGGGGGGCUAGCGUUGUUCGGAAUUACUGGGCGUAAAGGGCGCGUAGGCGGUCUAUUAAGUUGGAUGUGAAAACUCUGGGCUUAACCCAGAGCCUGCAUUCAAAACUGAUAGGCUGGAGUUCUGGAGGGGAUAGCGGAAUUCCUGGUGUAGCGGUGAAAUGCGUAGAUAUCAGGAGGAACACCGGUGGCGAAGGCGGCUAUCUGGACAGAAACUGACGCUGAGGCGCGAAAGCGUGGGGAGCGAACAGG